AUACGUAGGGGGCGAGCGUUGUCCGGAAUGACUGGGCGUAAAGGGCGUGUAGGCGGCUGUCUAAGUCUGGAGUGAAAGUCCUGCUUUCAAGGUGGGAAUUGCUUUGGAGACUGGAUGGCUUGAGUGCGGAAGAGGUAAGUGGAAUUCCCAGUGUAGCGGUGAAAUGCGUAGAGAUUGGGAGGAACACCAGUGGCGAAGGCGACUUACUGGGCCGUAACUGACGCUGAGGCGCGAAAGCGCGGGGAGCGAACAGGAUUAGAUACCCUGGUAGUCCACGCGGUAAACGAUGAAUGCCAGGUGUUGCGGGUAUCGACCCCUGCAGUGCCGGAGUAAACACAAUAAGCAUUCCGCCUGGGGAGUACGGCCGCAAGGUUGAAACUCAAAUGAAUUGACGGGG
rnacentral:rRNA from 1 species